CCCGCAGCCAAUCAGGGCGCGCGCCGCUUAAAGGGGCGAUGCCGUGGCCGAGGCGUUGCGCCGGGCCCACCGUGGCGUAUCGCGGCGCUGCAGGGAGCCGGCUUUGUCUCCCGGAGAGGCGUCUCCGGGCUGACCGCGGCCGCAGCUCCGCUCCUCUGCCUGAGCCGUGCGGCAGCCCUGGGAGCCUCUCAACGCCGAGCUUUCCUCAGAAGCCCGCGGCGACCCGGGCCUCGGCCGCUGUUCCUGCCCGAACUGAGGGCACAUCGCGCUUCGCGCGGGAUUUCCCAUAAAUUCAGGCUCCGGGCAAGAUUGUGUGUUUUUUCCUCUCCGCGGGCCGCCGCUGGCCGUGUGGGCCGAAGAAGCCCUGGAGGGGGAGAGGGGAGCCGCUCUCGACUGGGCUUGCGGCGUGGGAGGGACAGUGAGGGACACUUAGGGACUGUGUGGGGCAGUGAAGGAUAGUGUGGGAUGAUGAGGGACCGUGUGGACCGGUGAGCGACUGUGUGGGACAGUGCGGGACGAUGAGAGACGGUGUGGGACGGUGAGGGACAGUGCGGGACGAUGAGGGACAGUGAGGGACUGUGUAGGACAGUGAGGGACAGUGUGGGACGGUGAGGGACUGUGGGACAGUGAGGGACUUUGGGACUGUGAGGGACUCGGACAGUGAAGGAUGGCAAGGGACAGUGUGGGACAGUAUGGGACAGUGGACAGUGAGGCACUGUGAGGGGCGGUGAGGGACAAUGAAGGAUGUCAAGGGACAGUGUGGGACAGUGGACGGUGAGGUACUGUGAGGGGCGGUGAGGGACAGUGUGGGACUGUGAGGGAUGGCGAGGGACAGAGUAGGACAGCAAGGGAGGAUGAGGGGACAGAGUGGGCCGGCGUGGGGCGGUGAGGCUACGCGGGGGGAACCCAGGGCUCCUCUGACUGCGUUGGAAUAUGGAGGAAAGGUCCUGCUCGAGGUUGAGCCCUUCAGGGUCGCUGUGGGUUUCCAGGAGGAGCUCCCUCACUACUGACUUAGGGGGCCCUCGGCUUCCCAGGUUUGUGUUUACUCAGGCGACCUGAGCUGGCCCCGACGUCUUUUGGCUUUGGAGAGGCCACGGAUGCCCAAGGACAAAGCCCCAGCGGGCCUGUGGGAGGAGGUUUCUCGGGGCGCCAGUGAUGCAACUUAGGCUUAUAGUUUAACCGUAAAAUAAAUAAUACAAAUGAUAACAAACCAAGAGUGACUAAAGUCAGAAAAAAAGCAAACAGACGGAAACCCUCUAGUUUUAACUAGAACAAAUUCCCUGGCUGGUCCUCUGUUGGGAGAGCCCAGAGACCUGUCGCUGACCUCUAGCCUCCUGGAGCCCCUGCUUGCACUUCAGCAAUAAUGCCUGAUAGUUAGACACUGAUCACUAGCUAAUUGGGGUAGUUUAACAUAUGGAAUGAGAUUCUGGCCUUAUUAUCAGGUUAACUAUUAACUCUACACCCCAUGAAAUGAUUUGCCUUUCCCCCACUAUUAUUUACUUACAUUCUUUUUAAUUUAAUUCAAAGGCCUAAUUUUGAAUUCAAGGCCUUAAGCACGAAAAGGAAAAAAAAAAGAAAAAGAAUCUGAAGUAUCUUUGCCCUCUCUCACUUGCAAAACAAACGAACGUUUUGCAGAGAGAAAUCUGGCUUCCUUUCUGAUGGCUCUUCUGGCUUACAAGGGGCUGUUGGGUCAUUUUCAUGCCUAUGCCAUUUGUCAACAAUUCAGUUAACCUAUCUUCUUACAGCCAUUCAUUUAGUAUUAUUUUAGGAUGAUGGAAAUGAGUCACAACUAAUUGCAGAGUUCCUUACCAACUAACUAGGUUUUUUGAUCCAAAGAAAAUCUGUCCCGAUUUUCCUCCCAUUUUGGCGUCAUUUAUGUUUGUGGCUUACCCAUAUGCUGUUAUCAGUGUAAAAAAAAGAUGAGUGUGAGAACUUGCCAGGGUACAUCUUUUCAAACCUCACGGGACAGGAUUUACUGAAUGGGCACCUAAAGGAGCUCAAGUUUCAUCUGAAAGGAGCCCUGGCUAUACUAUUUCAAGUCACUACAAUACAGUUGUAAUUUGUGCUUCGGCCUUAUUGGCGUGCUUUUACAUUCCCCUAUUCAUAAAACAGUGAUAAUCACCAGAGCAACCAUCAAACACACCCCUUCUUUAGAGAAAGAAGAUCAACAGGAUACUCACUCUACAGUUGUGAGCUGUAUGAUGUGCUAAUGUUUUGGUAAAUUAUCAAAAAUCAUAAAAUCCCAUGAGUAAUAUGUGAUUAAUCUGAUUUUUCUAUUUUAAACAACUUGCAAAAUAAACUUGAUUUAUUCAUUUUUUGGGGAAAACCUGUUUAGCCACUAGUUUGCUGUGUUUAGCUUGCAGUUAUAUAAUAUGGCUUUCUCAGCUGUGGAAGAAUUACAUGAGAAGACUUACACCCCACAAAUUUUUUAUCUAAUAGUCUGUUAAUGAUGUGUUAUAAUAACAUUGAUAUGUCAAUAAUAUUGUAGGACAUCUUGGGAAGAGUUUAAAAGCAAAACGCUAAGCAUCUUGAAGUAAUACUAGCAUGUUGUGUUUAUUAAGUGAUUAUUCAUUGACCUUUAAUAGAUUAGAACACUACACCAGAGAUUCGGGGAAAUAGUCUCUUUUUCCUGAACCCAAUUUGUUUUAAAUUAUCUCCAGAAAAGCAUGACAUUUAAAGUAAGACAGUGUUUUUUAUAUCUCUCACAGUCUGCUUAAUUUUGAGGCCAUUUUCCAAGGAAUUUAUAUUAGUUGAUUUUUUUAAUAGAACUCAACAUCUAAAACGUUAGACUUGCAUCACAUUGACCCAAAUUGUCACUUUUCACUUGCCCUUCUUUCAGUGUAAGAAGAAGCUGUCUUUGGAGUGAGAACAAGGGUGAGGUUCUGGCUCAGAAACCUUAGAAUCACAGACACUGUUUUCCUGAAAACAUUGCUUCUUUCUCUCAUCUCAAAGAAAUGCCACAAGUCGUGUACUUCACCUCCUGGAUUCCUGCAGGCUACCUCUGCUGCUUCCCAGACCUUUCCCUCCCAUCCCUCUCGGGGUGAGCUCUGACCAGGCAGUAACUUUCAGCAGGACACCGCUGCACGCUUUGGAAUCACAGAAGGCAAUGACACCACAGAAUGUAACACUGGAUGCCAGACGCGCCUGCCUGUUUCCCCACUGCGAGCCCUUCGAGAACAAUGUCAUGUUGAUCGAUGGCAGUGACUCACACCAGAUCUUUCCAUGCCUCCUCUGCAAGGACUCAAGAGAGUCGAGAGCAAAACCGUGCCAUAGUUCCAUAAGGAGGGCAAAGAGCUUUAUCCACGCUGAGGAACAGGCGGAUCAUGCGGCUACAGCACUGGUCUUUACCUUUUAACUGCUUGAUUCGAAACAUUCCAGCCAGGAACAGUGGCUCACACCUGUAAUCCCAGCACUUUGUGGGGCCAAGGCAGGUGGAUUGCUCGAGCUCAGGAGUUCGAAACCAGCCUGGGCAACCUGGCAAAACCUCAUCUCUACAAAAAAAUACAAAAAUUAGCCAGGCCUGGUGUGUGUGCCUGUGGUUCCAGCCACUCGGCAGGCUGCGGCCAGAGGAUCACUUGAGCCCAGGAAGUGGAGGCUGCAGUGAGCUGAGAUCGUGCCGCCACACUCCAGCCUGGGUGACAGAGCCAGACAUUGUCUCUAAAAAAAAAAAAAAAAGAAAAGAAAAGAAAGAAAAAAGAGAAAUAGUCCAAGACUAGGGAGAAAACCUUCUUUGGGGUCAGUGUGAACCAUUCUUUCAUUUGUUCAGCAAAUGCUUACUGAGGAGCUACUGUGUCCCUGAAAUUGCCUCCACCUCCAAGAAGACAGUGGUGAGCAAGUCAGACAAUACCUCUAAUCUCAUGGUAUUUAUAAGUAAAUGGGCCGUUAAAAUUACCAGAUCAGAAGUGCUGUGUUCAGCAAAUAGAGGCUCAUGGGAAACUCCUAAGAAGGGCUUCUGAGCUGGACUUGGGGGUCAGGAAAGGCAGAAUGAGGGGGCUGACUCAUCCAGACUGGGGCGGGGUUGCCGGGGGUGCCUCCCACUUACUAUCUGUCUCCUUCUAGACUGACUUCUCUGUCAUCAUGAAUACACCCCUUUAAGACAUACAUUUAAGAGAAAAUAAGAGGAUGCCUUAUUUAUUUAAAGGUUUGUUACAGUUUUACUAACAACCACAUACCUAAAGGAAAGUCGCAAGUAGAGCUCAAAAACUUUUUUCUCUGGGGCAGUGAAGAGUCAGUUGCCAGCCAGAAGGCCCACUGAGCCUGAGCACUUCAGGGUGUGCUUCCUACAGAUAAGGACAUCCUCCUGCAUAACAGGAAAGGGGUCCUGAUCCAGACCCCAAGAGAGGGUUCUUGGAUCUCGCACAAGAAAGAAUUCCGGGUGAGUCUGUAAAGCGAAAGCCAGUUUAUUAAGUAAAGGAGUAAAAGAAUGGCUAUUCCAUAGACAGAGCAGCCCUGAGGGCUGCUGAUUGCCCAGUUUUAUGGCUGUUUCUUGAUGAUAUGCUAAACAAGGGGUGGAUUACUCAUGCCUCCCCCUUUUAGACCGUAGAGGGCAAGUCCUGAUGUUGCCAUGGCGUUUGUAAACUGUCAUGGAGCUGGUGGGAGUGAAGCAGUGAGGAUGACCAGAGGUCACUCUCGGCACCAUCUUGGUUUUUGGUGGGUUUUAGCCAGCUUCUUUACUGCAACCUGUUUUUUCAGCAAUAUCUUUAUGACCUGUAUCUUGUGCCGACCUCCUAUCUCAUCCUGUAAAUUAGAAUGCCAUUACCAUCUGGGAAUGCAGCCCAGUAGGUCUCAGCCUUAUUUUACUCAGCUCCUAUUUAAGAUGGAGUCGCUCUGGUUCGAACGGCUCUGAUAUAACUGCUGCUCAGCCAUUGACGUCGGGAAGGUAGCACAGGCUCAUUGCCACCACUGAACCCUCAGACCCCACCCAAGUGUUGCCAGUUGUUCCAAUAAUGUCCUUUAUGGUGAAAGGACCAGAUCCAUGGUCACAUAUUGCAUUGAAUUGUCACGUCUUCUUCUUUAGUCUUCCCUCGACCUACAUGACCUUGCCAUUUUUGGAGAUAAUAGUUUAACAGUCCAGUGGGUUCACCUUGCCCGCUGCCUAGACAGAGCUGGUUGAUCAUGACAGGGGAGUUGCAAUGGACAAUGGAGAAAGCGUAAUUCACACAGAGUCGACUGUGUGGGAGACCAGAGUUUUGUUAAUACUCAAAUCAGUCUCCCUGAGCAUUUGGCGAUUAAAGUUUUUAAAGAUAAUUUGGUGGGUAGGGGCUUGGGAAGUGGAGAGUGCAAUGGAGAUGGAAUCACAGGGGGUCGAAGUGAGUUUUUCUUGCUGUUUUCUGUUCUUGGGUGGGAUGGCAGAACUGGUUGAGCCAGAUUACUGGUCUGGGUGGUGGUAGCUGGUCCACUGAGUGCAGGGUUUGCAAAAUAUCUCAAGCACUGAUCUUAGGUCUUACAAUAGUGAUGUUAUUGCCAGGAGCAAUUUGGGGAGGUUCAGACUCUUGGAGUCAGAGGCUGCAUGACCCCUAAACUGUAAUUUCUUGUUUUGUUUGUUUGUUUUGUUAUUGUUGUUUGGUUUUUUUUGAGACGGAGUUUCACUCUUGUUGCCCAGGCUGGAGUGCAAUGGCAUGAUCUCAGCUCACCGCAACCUCCACCUCCCAGGUUCAAGCAAUUCUCCUGCCUCAGCCUCCCAAGUAACUGAGAUUACAGGCAUGUGCCACCACGCCCGGCUAAUUUUGUAUUUUUAGUAGAGAUGGGGUUUCUCCAUGUUGGUCAGGCUGGUCUUGAACUCCUGACCUCAGGUGAUCUGCCUGCCUUGGCCUCCCAACGUGCUGGGAUUACAGGCAUGAGCCACUGCGCCUGGCCAGUAAUUUCUAAUCUUGUAGCUAAUUUGUUAGUCCUGCAAAGGCUGAGUGGUCCCAGGCAAGAAGGGGGUCUUUUUGGGAAAGGGGUUUUAUCAAUUUUGUUUCAGAGUCCAACCACGAAUUGAAUUCCUUCCCAAAGUUAGUUUGGCCUAUGCCCAGGGAUGAACAAGGACAGCUUAAAGGUUAGAAGCAAGAUGGAGUUGGUUAGAUCUGAUUUCUUCCAGUGUCAUAAUUUCCUGAGUUAUAAUUUUGCAAAGGUGGUUUCAAUAGGACACUUGCUUUGUAGCCUGCACUUUGGUUUUCAUUUCUCUGAUGUGCCCUCACGGUUAGGGCCAAGUGAUGCAUCUUUAGUGGGAAUAGCUCAGGAGUAGUGCGGUCUUCUUAUUGUAUUAUAACACAUGCGGUGGCAUUUGUUGGCUCAGCUUCUACACUGUAAAGUUGCUCUUUUUGCCUCUUAAUGAAUAUGUAUCUUGAGGGAGAUACUAAAAAAAAUCCCUUUCCUCAUCAAAUUCUGCAUGUGUUCAGUAUGGAUUCAUGGCUUUCUAUUUUAUCCACUAGGUUAUAAUCUGUUGCCAUCUUUAUUUUAAUACUCAAAUUCUCCCAUAUUCAGUGACCACCUCAAGCUGACUUCUGUAUCCUUUUGACACAUCUCAGUCAUUCUUUGAGCACUUCCUUUUUUGCUGAGAUGGGUACAUGUUCUAGGCCCACCCUGUGCUUCCCCUGUCUAGUCUGGAAUCAGCCGUUUCUCAAAGGAGCUUUUGGUGGAGAAUGGUGUUUAGAAACCAAGAUCUGGAUAGCAGGUGUGCUCGCUGUGAUUGGGCUAUUGCUGCUCCCAAUCCUCUAGAUAGCCAGAACAACAACAUAAAAACAUGUAUGUUUGGCUGGGCACGGUGGCCGAUGCCUGUAAUCCCAGCACUUUGGGAGGUUGAGGUGGGUGGAUCACCUCAGGUCAGUUUGAGACCAGGCUGACCAACAUGGUGAAACCUUGUCUCUACUAAAAAUACAAAAAAAUCAGCAGGGUGUGGUGGUGCAUGCCUGUAAUCCCAGCUACUUGGGAGGCUGAGGCAAGAGAAUCGCUUGAACCCGGGAGGUGGAGGUUGCAGUGAGCCAAGAUCAUGCCACUGCACUCCAGCCUGGGCGACAGAGUGAGACUCUGUCCCCGAAAAAAAAAAGAAAAGUAUGUUUAUUUCUGUAUGUUUUUACUCACACCAAAAUACCUUCAAUUCCAGCCCAGUACCACAGGACUUAUUCUAGUUUUCUCUCUUUUCAUAUUUGUAUCUCCUUUCUCUGACAGUGAGACCAUGGCUCCCAUUAUUCUAAGUAUACUGACUUAUUUGACUAAUCCCCUGUAGAUGAUCAGUCUCUCCUGCCUUCUCCCCCACCACAUGUGGACACCCUCCUCACCCUGCCUGGCCCUGACACCCCGUGCUGGGUCUUCAACAUGCACAGAGGCCCUCCUGACCCCACUCGGGCUCUGAUCUUCCACACCAGACCACCCCUUCACACGGGCCCCCUCCUCCCACAUUUGGGCUCCGAGUCCCCAGGCUGAGCUGCCCUUUACCUUGCUUGAACUCUGACACCCCAUGCCAGGUCUCGGCCUUGCGAGGACACCUUUCUCACCUUAUGCUGGAGCUCCCUGGCACAGACUGCCUUGCACUGUGCUGGACUUUGCCUGCUGCCUGGAUGCACUCCUCACCAUGCCUGGGCCCUGAAAUCCCACUGCAGGCCAUUCUCACACAUGGAUGCUUUCCCUACCCUGCUUGGGCCCUCACUCCCAUGCUGACUCCCUCUCCCCCAUUGUAUUAAUCCAUUUUCAUGCUGCUGAUAAAGAUAUACCUGAGGCCAGGCGCAGUGGCUCAUGCCUGUAAUCCCAGCACUUGGGAGGCAAAGGCGGGUGGAUCAACUGAGGUCAGGAGUUCGAGACCAGCCUGGCCAACAUGGUGAAACCCUGUCUCUACUAAAAAUACAAAAAUUAGCUGGGCAUGGUGGCAGGCGCCUGUAAUCCCAGCUACUUGGGAGGCUGAGGCAGGAGAAUUGCUUGAAACUGGGUGGCGGAGGUUGCAGUGAGCCUAGAUUGCGCCAUUGCACUCUAGUCUUGGGGACAAGAGUGAGACUUCGUCUCCAAAUAAAUAAAUAAAUAAAAAUACAUACCUGAGACUGGGCAAUUUACAAAAGAAAGAGGUUUAAUGGACUUACAGUUCCAUGUGGCUGGGGAGGCCUCACAAUCAUGGUGGAAGGUGAAAGGCAUGUCUCACAUGGUGGCAGACAAGAGAAGAGAGCUUGUGCAGCGAAACUCCCCUUUAUAAACCAGAUCUUAUGAGACUUAUUCACUAUCAUGAGAACAGCACGGGAAAGACCUGCCCUCAUGAUUCAGUUACCUCCCACCAGGUCCCUCCCACAACACGUGGGAAUUCAAGAUGAGAUUUGGUUGGGGACACAGCCAACCCAUAUCACCCAUGCCUGGAUGCCCUUCUCAUGCUUGGGUUCUGUCAUCUGCACCAGGCCUUCUGCUGCCCGUCUGUCUUACCCACCAGGACUCUGACUCUCCACGCUGGGCCACCUCUCUUCUCCAACACUGCUAUGGAUUGAAUGUUUAUGUUCUCCCCAAAUUUGCAUGUUGCAAUCCCAAUCUCCAAUGCCAUAGUAUUAGGAGGUGGGGGCCUUUGGGAGGUGAUUUGGUCAUGAAGGUGGAGUCCUCACAGCUGGGAUGAGUGUCCUUCUAUAAGAGGCUCCAGUGAGCUCCCUCGCCCCUUCCACCAUGUGGGGACACAGCGAGAAGAUGCUGUCUAUGAACCAGGAAACCGGCCCUUGCCAGACACUGAAUCUGCACUUUGAUCUUGGACUUGCAGCCUCCAGAACUGUGAGAAAUAAAUGUCUAUCGUUUAUAAGGCACUCGGUCCAUGGUAUUUUUGUUAAAGCAAUCUAAACGGAC
rnacentral:lncRNA from 10 species